GGAGAUGUAGUGUAUUGGUAGAACACUUGCCUAGCAUGGACAAGGCCCUGGGUUCAACUCCCAGCAGCCCCC
rnacentral:tRNA from 1 species